rnacentral:rRNA from 1 species
AACGAACGCUGGCGGCAUGCCUAACACAUGCAAGUCGAACGAGACCUUCGGGUCUAGUGGCGCAAGGGUGCGUAACGCGUGGGAACCUGCCCUUAGGUUCGGAAUAACUCCCCGAAAGGGGUGCUAAUACCGGAUAAUGUCUUCGGACCAAAGAUUUAUCGCCUUUGGAUGGGCCCGCGUUGGAUUAGCUAGUUGGUAGGGUAAAAGCCUACCAAGGCGACGAUCCAUAGCUGGUCUGAGAGGAUGAUCAGCCACACUGGGACUGAGACACGGCCCAGACUCCUACGGGAGGCAGCAGUGGGGAAUAUUGGACAAUGGGCGAAAGCCUGAUCCAGCAAUGCCGCGUGAGUGAUGAAGGCCUUAGGGUUGUAAAGCUCUUUUAACCGGGAUGAUAAUGACAGUACCGGGAGAAUAAGCGCCGGCUAACUCCGUG